GGCGCCGUGCCUUAGUUGGUUAAAGCGCCUGUCUAGUAAACAGGAGAUCACGUGUUCGAAUCUCGUCGGUGCCU